ACUCCUACGGGAGGCAGCAGUGGGGAAUAUUGCACAAUGGGGAAACCCUGAUGCAGCCAUGCCGCGUGUGUGAAGAAGGCCUUCGGUUGUAAGCACUUUCAGUAGGGAGGAAGGUAGUGUAGUUAACACCUGCAUUAUUUGACGUUACCUACAGAAGAAGCACCGGCUAACUCCGUGCCAGCAGCCGCGGUAAUACGGAGGGUGCGAGCGUUAAUCGGAAUUACUGGGCGUAAAGCGCAUGCAGGCGGCCUGUUAAGUCAGAUGUGAAAGCCCGGGGCUUAACCUCGGAAUUGCAUUUGAAACUGGCAGGCUAGAGUCUUGUAGAGGGGGUAG
rnacentral:rRNA from 1 species